CGGCGACCGGCGCACGGGUGCGUAACGCGUAUGCAACCUACCAUCAACAGGGGGAUAACACUGAGAAAUUGGUACUAAUACCCCAUAAUAUCUCAUGCGGCAUCGCAUGGGGUUGAAAACUCCGGUGGUUGAUGAUGGGCAUGCGUUGUAUUAGUUAGUUGGUGGGGUAACGGCUCACCAAGACAACGAUACAUAGGGGGACUGAGAGGUUAACCCCCCACAUUGGUACUGAGACACGGACCAAACUCCUACGGAAGGCAGCAG
rnacentral:rRNA from 1 species